UAGCUACAGGCUUAACACAUGCAAGUCGAGGGGCAGCAUGGUCUUAGCUUGCUAAGGCCGAUGGCGACCGGCGCACGGGUGAGUAACGCGUAUCCAACCUGCCUUACACUCUUGGACAGCCUUCUGAAAGGGAGAUUAAUACAAGAUGUUAUCAUGAGUAAGCAUUUUCGCAUGAUUAAAGGUUUACCGGUGUAAGAUGGGGAUGCGUUCCAUUAGAUAGUAGGCGGGGUAACGGCCCACCUAGUCUUCGAUGGAUAGGGGUUCUGAGAGGAAGGUCCCCCACAUUGGAACUGAGACACGGUCCAAACUCCUACGGGAGGCAGCAGUGAGGAAUAUUGGUCAAUGGACGAGAGUCUGAACCAGCCAAGUAGCGUGAAGGAUGAAGGUUCUAUGGAUUGUAAACUUCUUUUAUACGGGAAUAAACGAAUCCACGUGUGGAUUUUUGCAUGUACCGUAUGAAUAAGGAUCGGCUAACUCCGUGCCAGCAGCCGCGGUAAUACGGAGGAUCCGAGCGUUAUCCGGAUUUAUUGGGUUUAAAGGGAGCGUAGAUGGGUUGUUAAGUCAGUUGUGAAAGUUUGCGGCUCAACCGUAAAAUUGCAAUUGAUACUGGCAGUCUUGAGUACAGUUGAGGUAGGCGGAAUUCGUGGUGUAGCGGUGAAAUGCUUAGAUAUCACGAAGAACUCCGAUUGCGAAGGCAGCUUACUAACCUGUAACUGACAUUGAUGCUCGAAAGUGUGGGUAUCAAACAGGAUUAGAUACCCUGGUAGUCCACACGGUAAACGAUGAAUACUCGCUGUAGGCGAUAUACAGUCUGCGGCCAAGCGAAAGCAUUAAGUAUUCCACCUGGGGAGUACGCCGGCAACGGUGAAACUCAAAGGAAUUGACGGGGGCCCGCACAAGCGGAGGAACAUGUGGUUUAAUUCGAUGAUACGCGAGGAACCUUACCCGGGCUUAAAUUGCAACCGAAUAUGGCGGAAACGCUAUAGCUAGCAAUAGCGGUUGUGAAGGUGCUGCAUGGUUGUCGUCAGCUCGUGCCGUGAGGUGUCGGCUUAAGUGCCAUAACGAGCGCAACCCUUGCCGAUAGUUACUAACAGGUCAUGCUGAGGACUCUGUCGGGACUGCCAUCGUAAGAUGUGAGGAAGGUGGGGAUGACGUCAAAUCAGCACGGCCCUUACGUCCGGGGCUACACACGUGUUACAAUGGGGGGUACAGAGGGCUGCUACCACGCAAGUGGAUGCCAAUCCCAAAAACCUCUCUCAGUUCGGAUUGAAGUCUGCAACCCGACUUCAUGAAGCUGGAUUCGCUAGUAAUCGCGCAUCAGCCACGGCGCGGUGAAUACGUUCCCGGGCCUUGUACACACCGCCCGUCAAGCCAUGGGAGCCGGGGGUACCUGAAGUGCGUAACCGCAAGGAGCGCCCUAGGGUAAAACUGGUGACUGGGGCUAAGUCAUAAC
rnacentral:rRNA from 1 species